rnacentral:lncRNA from 1 species
UAAUGUUCUGUCAAUUAAGCUUUAUCUUAAUCGAUCCUAAAUUAAUGUUUUAGAGAAAUAUAUAUAUAUAUAUUUAUUUAUUUAACGUUUAAUAGAUUAAAUGGCGACAUCGAGAUCAAAGAUAUCCAAAAAAAUCUUGAACAGCCAAUCGCGAGAGAUUAUACCAAAUAUCCGAGAAUAUUUUGAAAAAGAAGCUAAUUUUGGGAUACAAAUUCCACUAACACAUAUCACAAAAAGAGUAACAGCUGCAACAAAAGUAUCAGAAAGGAGUGUUAGAAGGAUUGCAAAUGAAAAAACAAAAGUCAGUUGUGGUGAAUCACAUUCUUUUUCAACCCCUUGUAAAAGUAAACGACGAAAAUGUCCUGCGACAGGUAUUGACAGUUUC